rnacentral:misc_RNA from 1 species
AAGUCGUAACAAGGUCUCCGUUGGUGAACCAGCGGAGGGAUCAUUACAGAGUGUUAAAACUCCCAAACCUUUGUGAACAUACUACUGUUGCUUCGGCGGACCCGCCCCGCGGCGCGCACUGCGUGACCCGGGCCAAGGCGGCCGCCGGAGGCACCAAACUCUUGUCUUUAUAGUGGAUUUCUGAGUGGCAUAAGCAAAUAAAUCAAAACUUUCAGCAACGGAUCUCUUGGUUCUG